GCGGCGCGGACCGGCAGUUGCCGCCAUCAUGUGCCAGCCGCUGCACCUCGCCGUCGUCCUCGUCCUCGGCGUCGUCGUCGCCGUCCUGGGCGUCAUCGAGGCCGCCACCCGGGCGGCCACCUUGUGCCCGGAGCCGAAGACAAAAGACGAUUUCAUUGUGGACAACUUUCUGGGCACGUGGUACGAGAUGAAGAGGACCCCUUGCACGCUUAAUGUCUUACGAAGGCGAGUCUUUGUAUUAUGGUGACAAAUCUUCGUAUUAUGGUGCAAAACCUUCGUAUUAUGGCUGCUGCGCUCGCUCCGUAACCUACGAAGCCAAAUUCUUUAAAUUAAGUGUGUGGGGCUUCGACGUCGAGGACGAAGGCGAGUGCGGCACGGUGCGCUACUCCUGGGUCAAACCGGACAAGAAAGACGAGCUCAAAGUCGAAAAGAUCUACUUCCUGCCUCAGAAUUCUACGGUCAGCGUCGUCAUGAUGUCUGCCGUCCCUUCCGACAUCUCCAGCGGCAAAUUCACUGCGACGUUCCCGACGCGAAUCUAUGAGAAACCGUACCGUCCGUUCAGGUACUGGGUGCUGGGAACGGACUACGUCUCGUUCGCCGUGAUGUUCUCGUGCCAGGAACCAGAGGGCCUCGACAGGGGGCUCCAUCGUCCCGACCUCGACAGGUUCGCGGGCCCCUGGUGGAACGUGCAGCACGGCCCCUACGCCGAAGACUCCGACCGCCAGAGCUGCCGCGUCACGGAGAUCGCCGCCACGGGCAGAAACACCAUCAAACUCGUCAACUCAGUGAUGAUAAAGAAGGACGCGUUCAAACCAGGGAACGAACAUGCAUGGCAGACCUCCGAGAGCCAGUGGCGGGGCUCCGACCGGCGCGAUGGAUCGUUCGGCAACGACCUCGGUGCCAAGAUGUGCGUGCUGGCCACCGACUACGACAACUGGGCAGUGCUCUCCGUCUGCGCCGCGCGCGAUGAAGGCGACGGCUUCCCUGUCCUGCCUUUCGGGGCGCGAUGGGUGGUCAAACCAGGUCCGCGCAAUCCAACCAAGUGUUGCGGAGUAAUUCUCCUUGGCGCGUGCAGAGUUUGUAGUUUUUACACUUCAAGUGUGGAAUAGUUGCUCACAGAGCCACUACCUCUCGGAAUGGGAUCAAUGUGAAGAACCCCACCCACACUUGACGAGUCUGCAAAGUCUGCACUACAAAGAGGCGUCUACGUGCUGGCCAGGAACCGCGGCCUCACCCCGGAGCAGCAGGCGCACGCCAACAAGGCCGUGGCCAAGGCCGGCAUCCCCCCCUCUUACAUGCAGGCCACGCCGUCGACGCCCUGCCCGGAAGUCCUGC
rnacentral:misc_RNA from 1 species